AUACGAAGGGGGCUAGCGUUGUUCGGAUUUACUGGGCGUAAAGCGCACGUAGGCGGAUUGACAAGUUAGGGGUGAAAUCCCGAGGCUCAACCUCGGAACUGCCUCUAAAACUGUCAAUCUCGAGACCGGAAGAGGUGAGUGGAACUCCUAGUGUAGAGGUGGAAUUCGUAGAUAUUAGGAAGAACACCAGUGGCGAAGGCGGCUCACUGGUCCGGUACUGACGCUGAGGUGCGAAAGCGUGCGGAGCAAACAGGAUUAGAAACCCUAGUAGUCC
rnacentral:rRNA from 1 species